rnacentral:lncRNA from 1 species
CUCUAAGUCUAUAGCAAAAUGUCUUGCAAACAGUUAAAAUAACUUUAUCACUCUACUUCAAUCAAACUGUACGUGUUCCUUCUCUUUACUAUUGGUUUUGUUCCUCAGAUUUCUUAGAGUAGUGUCUCUUCAAGUCCUGGUUUCCUGGAAACCAGCAACUGCUGUUCAAGCCGAAACUCCUUCAGAGGCAAAACUCCACCCUCAGUCAUCAGAGGCAGGAGCCUUCAAUUUAGACAUUACUGUCACAUCUUGUUGCUUUUAUUUUCCCAGCACUUUAUCUGUAUGUUUCAGAGACAUAUUUCCUGUUUCCAUUAUAUUUUUCAUUGACUUUUCUCCUGUAUUAGGGAAAUCUGAUUUUUUCCUUUAACCCACAGAAGAAUAUUUUUGUUUUCACAAAAUUAUGUUAAACAUAAUCAAGAAAUUAAUUGAUUACAUUCUAAUGUCUUAGCACAUGGAUUCAGAAUGGAUAUUCUCAAAAAUAUUUAAGGGAUUUUUUUAGCUACAUUUUUUUUUGAUUUAUUUUUCAAUUUAAGGAGGAGAGCAAGAAAACAAAACUCAGUUAAACUAAAAUUCUCAUGAUCAUAGAUUAUGAUAAGUUAGGAAGUCUGUUAGUAAGGCCUUGUUGGAGGGAUGUAAAUUCUAAACGGUUUCAAAGAAAAAAAGUGAAAGAAUGCAAGGAGUAAACAUUCCUGGUUGGGGAAGAAUCAUACACGAGAUUAUUGAAUAAUAAGGAACAAUAAUAAUGCGGGCAUGGAUGAGUUUGCUGGAACAGGGGAGGAGCACGCCAUUUAAUUGCAAAAAAGGUAUGACAUGUACCUAAGCCUUUGAUUUAAUCUUAUCAGACUGACUUCUCUAAUCAGAGUUCAUCUUUAUAUUGCAAAUUGAAUUAGAUUCUUGGAAAAUAUGUGUUAUGGUUCCAGGAUAUAAAAUUAAAUUAUGAGGAGAAAUGAUGCAAAUGAAUCCUAUCAUAAUCAUGAAAAUUUUACUUUUGUGUUUAUAUUCACAAGAGAUAUUGGUCUGUAGUCAGCCUUUCUUGUGAUGUCUUUAUCUGGUU